rnacentral:rRNA from 1 species
UACGAAGGGGGCUAGCGUUGCUCGGAAUUACUGGGCGUAAAGCGCACGUAGGCGGCUUUCUAAGUCGGGGGUGAAAUCCUGGAGCUCAACUCCAGAACUGCCUUCGAUACUGGAGAGCUCGAGUCCGGGAGAGGUGAGUGGAACUGCGAGUGUAGAGGUGAAAUUCGUAGAUAUUCGCAAGAACACCAGUGGCGAAGGCGGCUCACCGGCCCGGUACUGACGCUGAGGUGCGAAAGCGUGGGGAGCAAACAGG